AUGUUACGCCAAUUUGAACUUGCUCGGUCUGUUCAAUUGCGGCCUUAUAAUGCAAUCUCAUUCUCUGGUCCAAUUGCUGUUUUUGUUUCUAUAUUCCUUAUUUAUCCACUAGGGCAAUCCGGUUGGUUCUUUGCACCGAGUUUUGGCAUAGCAGCGAUAUUUCGAUUCAUCCUUUUCUUCCAAGGAUUUCAUAAUUGGACGUUGAACCCAUUUCAUAUGAUGGGAGUUGUCGUAGUAUUAGGUGCGGCUCUGCUAUGCGCUAUUCAUGGAGCGACCAUAGAAAUCACUCUAUUUGAGGAUGGUGAUGGUGCAAAUACCUUUCGUGCUUUUAACCCAACUCAAGCUGAAGAAACUUAUUCCAUGGUCACUGCUAACCGCUUUUGGUCCCAAAUCUUUGGUGUUGCUUUUUCCAAUAAUCUCUGGUCCAUUUCUUUAUGCUAUUUGUACCCGUCACCGGUUUAUGGAUGA
rnacentral:rRNA from 1 species